AACGAACGCUGGCGGCAUGCCUAACACAUGCAAGUCGAACGAGACCUUCGGGUCUAGUGGCGCACGGGUGCGUAACGCGUGGGAACCUGCCCUUAGGUUCGGAAUAACUCCCCGAAAGGGGUGCUAAUACCGGAUAAUGUCUUCGGACCAAAGAUUUAUCGCCUUUGGAUGGGCCCGCGUUGGAUUAGCUAGUUGGUAGGGUAAAAGCCUACCAAGGCGACGAUCCAUAGCUGGUCUGAGAGGAUGAUCAGCCACACUGGGACUGAGACACGGCCCAGACUCCUACGGGAAGAAGCAGUGGGGAAUAUUGGACAAUGGGCGAAAGCCUGAUCAAGCAAUGCCGCGUGAGUGAUGAAGGCCUUAGGGUUGAAAAGCUCUUUUACCCGGGAUGAUAAGGACAGUACCGGGAGAAUAAGCGCCGGCUAACUCCGUG
rnacentral:rRNA from 1 species